rnacentral:misc_RNA from 1 species
UCCUUCGGUAUCGAUUUGCCUUCGUUAUAAAUUGUUACUCCAGCAAAAAAAGCGAAGAUUCUAAAGACUGGAGAACAACUGGUGGCUGCCGACGCUUUCCAACUCCAUUUCUAGUGAUUAGGCCGCCAUUAUUUCGAAACCCAUACUUUCCGUCCCCUGUGGUCACUCAGGAAGCCUCUUAUUGCUUUCACUACAAAAGAGCACACCAAUUGAAAUUACUAAUUUCAUUUAUUUGAUCAACGGAUUAUGGGUGUGAAUAUUUGACAGCAGAUCGUGAGGUCCUUCCCAUUAAGCUUCUCCCAUAGUAGAAAAUGAGAAUUUGAAGGAUAAGGAGAAUUGAGUCAAGAAAAAGAAGAUUCACAUAAGGUUUGUGCAUAACUAAUCCUAUUUCUUUGUUUUUAAAUUGGGAAUUGAUUUGAAUAAGUUUAUAUGAAUGAUUUAUGAUUUUUAUUGCAUUGAGAAUUUUAAUUUGAGAAAUUGUUUGUUGCCAACCCUAUAAGGGGAAAUUUAUGAAUGAAAUGUGAAUGUUGAUUUGCAAUGAAAUUAUUUGGAUUUGUUUUGAAGCCACACUUGGCAUGACAAUUAUUAUUGUGUUUCUUCUCCAUUUAUGGGGUUGAGUUUGAUUAUGUUUCCUCCCUCUUUGGCUUGCCAGUUGAGGUUGAGUUCGAAUGAGUACUCAUAAAACUAGCUAGCCACCUCCCUCAUUAAUCUCGGUUAGUGAGGUUGUAGAUUGUUUUGUUGUGGUAUACAACAUGACAUUGAUUGAAAAUUUAUAUCAUGACCUAAGCUGUGUGAAUUGUUGGCAUCACUGUUAUUUGAUAAAUUGUUAUUGAAAAUGUUGGUAUUAGUUUUGAUAUUUAUGAAAUUGUGAAUAUUUUAAACUCUUGUUUACCAAUUGAUAAACUAUGUUUAUAGUAAGUUUUAAUUUUUAGUUGUGCACCACUGAGUGUUAUGCUCAGCGAAAGCUAUUCCAGUCGCAGGUAAAGAGAAGGAAGGAGCUGUGGAGUGAGCAGCGUGAAGCAGUGGUAGAUAUAGCUUCGAGUAUAUAUAUUAGGUAUACACUUUUAUAUAUGCAUUUUGAUGUAAAUUAGUCUGUAUGUACAUAACGAUAAAUGAGCAGUUGUAUAAACAAAUUUAUAAUAAUAUUUUGAAGUAUUUUGGCCUGUAUCUUUUUAUAAGAAUAUUCAUUUUGAUUUAUGUUUAUAAGAUGAGAACUAUUGCUUGGGGUUGAUGGAAAGAAAUGUGAUGACUUGAGUUUGAUUGUGUUGAAUUGUGGAAGAUAUAUUUUUAUGAAUUGAUUUUC